rnacentral:tRNA from 1 species
GGGUUGGUAGCUAUCGCUUCUGUUUCAUAAGCAGAAGGUCAUGGGUUCAAAUCCAAGCCAGUCCC